ACCUUUCAUGAUCGGAUUUUCCAGCAAUUAGCAAUCUUCGCCAGGAUCCAAGGCCUGGAAGUUGCCAAAAACGCGUCUAAAAAAGCUACAGAGAAAAAGGAUUUGGUCCCUCAGCUGUCAGAAGCAAGACAGCAGGUGUCAUCUGCAGUGGAGCUACUAACAAGAGUGGAAAAAGAGCCACAGGUUGCACUGAAAAGGGUUAAGAUCUCUGGUUGUCUACAGCAUUGCAGCAAAAGGGAUGAGAGCAGUGAGCUUGCCAAAACUGCAGUAAUUAGAGAGCUGGAGCAGACCUUCAUUUUUAGGUGAGUGUCCUAAAUGGCUGUCAG
rnacentral:lncRNA from 1 species